AAUUGUAAAUGGAAUUCUGAUUUAAGAACCGAAGUCAUCGCAAGAGGGUGGCUGGGAUAGGAAAAUCACCCGACACGAACCUGUUCUAGGAAAGUGGUAGAACACCCUCGAGUUCCUGCUAGAGGGAGGCCUACGUAGAUAACUAGCAGGUAAGCGACUGCGAGUCACCCAAAUCUUAUUGUGUUUAGCGUCCCCUCUCCCCUCCUCUCCCUGAUCAGGUAGAUCAGGUCAGUUGCUCCAAUGCUCUAUGUAGUUGAAUCAGCUAUCAUUUGUGACAUAAACCACCCACGACAUUCUGUAUGCUGGCGCAUCUUUCGUCACAAUCUUACGGCUCUUGUUAAAUGCACUAGGAGUCAUUGAUCAAAUGCGUAAAUGAAGCAAACGAGAAACACUCAGGUGCAGUCGGUCUGUCUGACUUACCUGUUUUAGAGCCCAUAUACAGCGCCUUGCAGGUGCGGCUUUGCAUUUUUGCAACACUUCGACUCUUUCU
rnacentral:lncRNA from 1 species